AAACCACCUGUUCCAUUGCACCUUUUUCCAAGCCAUCAGCAUGGUGUUGCAAAGAUGGUGUGACGUUGUCCUUUGUACCUUCUUUCUCCAAAAUCUCUAUAGAUGUUCCCUCCACCAAUCUAUUACCAGGCAAGAAUUCAACUUUCGAUUUUAUGUUGAGAUUGUCAUCAACCGGGGGAAGGGUAGUAAUUUGGCCACUACUUUCACCGGUUUUAGCUUUUUCUUUACCGAACAUAUUUUUCAACGAAAAUGNNN
rnacentral:lncRNA from 1 species